GGGGUCGUCCGGUUUUGACAGCUUGAGAGGUCAGGUGUGUAAGCAUGUCGGGAGUUGAGAGCAUCUCCUGUUAAAAAGGUUCUCAAACAAUAACAGGCGAAAAUAACUACGCCCUCGCUGCCUAAUUAGGAUUAAUUAGCCGCUUGUGUUCCGGUAGCGUUCCGUUCUGUCACGUUACCAAUCGGAGCAUCAUCAUGCAGAACUGGUUUUUAUGAAGUUGUGGCAUAAAAAUAAGACAAAAUAACUAAGGCAAAAGACCGGUUGGUGGCUUACCAAUCUUUUACCCGACAAUCUGAAAGCUAAUAAACAUGUAGAAAGCAUCGGGGUUCCUUGUCUGGACGAGGGUUCGAAUCCCUCCGACUCCACUU
rnacentral:tmRNA from 1 species